UACGGAGGAUGCGAGCGUUAUCCGGAUUUAUUGGGUUUAAAGGGUGCGUAGGCGGCGAGUUAAGUCAGCGGUAAAAGCCCGGGGCUCAACCCCGGCCCGCCGUUGAAACUGGCAGCCUUGAGUGAGCGAGAAGUAUGCGGAAUGCGUGGUGUAGCGGUGAAAUGCAUAGAUAUCACACAGAACACCGAUUGCGAAGGCAUCUGACGAAUCGGAGAUUGACGCUGAUGCACGAAAGCGUGGGUAUCGAACAGG
rnacentral:rRNA from 1 species